ACGCCGCGUGAGUGAUGAAGGUUUUCGGAUCGUAAAGCUCUGUUGUUAGGGAAGAACAAGUACCGUUCGAAUAGGGCGGUACCUUGACGGUACCUAACCAGAAAGCCACGGCUAACUACGUGCCAGCAGCCGCGGUAAUACGUAGGUGGCAAGCGUUGUCCGGAAUUAUUGGGCGUAAAGGGCUCGCAGGCGGUUUCUUAAGUCUGAUGUGAAAGCCCCCGGCUCAACCGGGGAGGGUCAUUGGAAACUGGGGAACUUGAGUGCAGAAGAGGAGAGUGGAAUUCCACGUGUAGCGGUGAAAUGCGUAGAGAUGUGGAGGAACACCAGUGGCGAAGGCGACUCUCUGGUCUGUAACUGACGCUGAGGAGCGAAAGCGUGGGGAGCGAACAGGAUUAGAUACCCUGGUAGUCCACGCCGUAAACGAUGAGUGCUAAGUGUUAGGGGGUUUCCGCCCCUUAGUGCUGCAGCUAACGCAUUAAGCACUCCGCCUGGGGAGA
rnacentral:rRNA from 1 species